CCGAGCCGCGCGACCAGCGGCCCCUCCGCAGUCAUGCCCGCGGGAGGUCCGCUGCUCCCGCGGCUCCGGGGCGCCUCCCGCGCAUGACUGCUUGGGGCGGCCAAAAAGGUAGAGCCGCCCCUGUACAAAGGCAUAGACUACCUGCACAAUCCCUAGGAGCUGCAAGAUUUUGGUAUCAAAAAGGAAAGCUUGACUGUAUUGUUUUGUGUGUCAUCACUAUUAUGAACUGCCCGUAAUCCAUAUGAAUGUAUUUUUGUUUGCUGUCUUGGUAAUAGAAUUAACAUAUCUCAAUCAAAACUGGAAAUUUAAGACUGUUUACAGAGGCUUUGAAAAUUGUAAACUCUUUGUGAAAGUGAGUAGGCUCAAGACCUCCUCAACAAACAGAAUAAAUUAGAAGAUUGAAGUAAAGACCUUUGUCAUUUUUUAAGAUUGUGCUCAAUAUUGCUUGCAGUCAUCUUAAUCAUCUUGCUUUAGUCAUAACUUGGUGGUUCAGUGUUUAACAAACUGAACACUACCUUUGUCCAUCUGUGUCCUACAAUUAUUUCUAACUGGUUUUUUAAUCUUAACGAAGGUGUCAUAGUGAGCCUACAUUAUCUCAGGAGCCCAAGGUUACCAAGGCAGCGUAAUGUAGUUUUCUCUUCACUGCAUUGGCUUGGAAGCUCCUGGGCCUUUCAGAGGAGUUAGAUACCAGGACCACCCUGAGAUGGAGAACACGAAGGACCCCUAAUAUGAGAUCAUCGCUACUCACCCUAGAAGAGACAUGAAGAGCUCAUCCAGCAAAGCAGCAUCAUACCCAUCCUGCAUGGCCUUUCUUAAGAAUCAGAUACCAAUGACGACUCAUGUUCUGCCUCCAGGAAGCUACAGGGCUGAUAUGAAACACUCUGAAAUGUCUCUGUUCCUUACUCAGAAACUGAACUCACAGAGUUGUUAUGGACAACAAGAAGAUUUCUGUUUUUAAAUAUUUGGGAGAUGCUCAGAUAUUGUGAUGAUGGGGGGGCCAUAACUGCCUAAGUGGAAGAUAGCUAAUGGGGCAAAGCUAGGGCACUGUUUUGACAGCAGCCAAAAAAAACAAAAUAAAUAAACCAUGUGAAGAUUUCUCCUUAUAGCCACAGGAAGUUCGAACCCACCAUGCUCCCAAAGCACCCUUCCUAGGACAUUGAAAACAAAGCCAGGAAAAAUAGGACAUAACCAAACAGCCCCAUGUUUCCCCAAGAUACUUUCUCCCACCUUACAAUGGAGAAGAGCAUUACCCCAACUACACCUCUGUUCAGGUUCUAACUUUAAUGCAGGAAGCCUUUGGAUUUGCUAUAUUUAUUUAUAAUUUUAGCCCAUAAAAGUUGCAAUUUGGGGGAUAAAGGUUACUCGUUUUCAUUUUUAUCCUGUGACUUUUUAACAAAUUUUUCAGUAUUCUGUUUUAAUUUUUUGGUUGUGUGGCUUCCUUUGUUUACUAAGCAUGUUCUUUCUUAUGACUACUUUAUGAAAAAUAAAUUGGUUCAGCUCUGUCAUCUCUAGAAGUUUAAUGCCUCUUUUGUAGCUGGGUAUAUGCAAUCAGCAGUGUCAGGUCUUGGCAGCAAGUUAGUAAAAACCGAGAUUUCAAAUCUGAGUCAUUUUUAGCAGAGUUUCUAAGAAGUUACAUCUAAAGGUAGAGUUCAGAGGAAAAUGAGAGCUGUAGCAUCUUUAUUUCCUGCAGAUGAAUACUGAAAUUUUUAAUAAGAAAUGGGAUAAUAGACCAGGAAUAAAAAUCCAUCUGAUGAAAAUGUUUUCAUAGCCCUGA